UGAAAACAAUAGCCACUUUGACUCUUACGCUCGGCCGUGCUGGGUGGGCCAUCAAUAGUUUUUGAAAGAAUCUUAAACAAGCGUACAAGUCGACUGCAUAUUUAUAGCAUCUAAAUACUGAGAACUAUGUCAUUAUGAUGCACACAGGCUCCGGAGAAGCACGUGACUUCCGUUUUUAAAAUAGAUUGACGAGCGUCGUUGCGAUUCAGCAUCGUAUUUUUAAGGCCAUUCUCUGGAAUGUAGCGAUGAAAUAAAUUAUUCGGAAAACAUAGUUUUGAAAAUUAAAUAAGGUUUAAAUACACUUCAUAUUUAUCUUCGAUCAACAAUAGUAACUAGAUUUCGGGUCGGCGCAAAAAUCCGUCUCGUUAAAUAACAGCGCACUUGAAAUGUGAGCUCUUAUUUUGUUUAGUUCAGUUCAGACACAGCCAAUGUCAACCCGUCUCGUGUGUAUUCAAAAGUUGCAAAAAAUGCCCGAAAAAGCAAUUUAACGGCCGGAGUAUCUUACUUUCGCUUUCCUAGCAAUCACGUGUGCAGAAUGGAUCUCGGUUGUCGCCAGAGAAAGAAGAGAUUACUUUUAUAAGCCAGCUAAGAACUCCACUCAUUGACACUGGACAUCUUUGCCUUCCGUGUUCACGGCUACUGAAAUGUGACCGAAGCAUUGUAAUAAAAAUAUCGCGCUUAAAACCGUUUAAA